CUCCUCCAAAAUCCCUAACCCUAACAUCUGUCUCCUCCAAACCUGAGCUAGCCGCUACCUCUCCUUCUGCGUGGGCCGCUCAUUUCCCGACCGCUGGCGACUGAGCUUCGACUGAUCCAACCGCCACCAUCUUCAUCUUCUUCCUCCUCUCCUCCACCACCACCACCAUCUCCUCUCAUUCUCUGCCGAGGGCAAGGCAAGGCACACCCUCACCUCGGGCCUCCCCUCCAGUGUCGUCCUCAACCUCCGGCGAAGCCUCCCCAACGGCUGCAACCCCCGCCAAGCGCCGCCACGGCCCUUGCGACAUCCCUAGUGAGAUCUAAGGCACGGGUGGCCAAGCUGCACCGCGCCGCCACUGUCGUCGCCGUCUGCCGUCGCCUACCCCCUCCUCUCGGUCCCAGGAGUCCCCUUCGCCGCUCGCGGCCUUUUCGACCGCCGCCUGCUUUAGAGAAGGCCGGUGAACCCGAGCCAAGCCCGAGUUGACCUCGGGUUGGUCCCGCGUAGCCACCGCCGCCUUUCACCGCCGGCUAGUGCAUGCGCCGGCCUUUCCCCGUCGGCCGCACCCCUCUGCCGCCGACGCGUGUGCUGUCGACCCACCUGCGGCCGGCUGAAGACUAUUUGCUCCCAGCAAGCUUAGUUAGGGCUUUUUCUGCGUUCCUUUCAAUGUUUCGGCGAUCCGGGGACACUCCAACACCUCCGAAAGUGACCAUGGUGACCCCUGAGGAGUGCUGAUCAUCGUGCUCUCAUGUUUUUUUGUUGGCGAAGCCCAAAUCGUCGUUUUCAGCCCUGUCGCCCCUGGUGCGCAUUCCUCGCUAAUCUUCGGUUUGCUCCUGCGCACUCCUUGGCUCUUUUUUGUACUCCGGACAGUGAGCACGGCAUUCACCUGGUCGGAAUCUAUAAGCCUGUGCCUCGGCUAACCUCAGAAGUGCUCGAAUCGAUGUGACGGUUAGAUACAUCGAUCGAGUCGAGAACUCGGAUACUUGGUGAGGUGGCUGCUCUAUUUCGAAGUCGGUGUUGCUGACAGUGUGGGUCGGAGCGCGGUGUGAGAAUGUGGUUAGUUAGCACCUUGAUAGUUCAUGCUGUGAAUCUCGAUUUCUAGCCUUAGAUUACUCUUAUUUCAUUAUGUGGAUAUUGUGGGAAAUUAUAUGAUUGUAGUUUGUGAUUACUUAUAUUUGAGUUUUUCCUUUGGUAGUGGUUUAGUUGAUUCUGGAUUAUGAUUUUCACCCUUGAAUUUAUUAGUUGUUGUA